rnacentral:rRNA from 1 species
CCCACUUGUGGGUGGAUUAGUGGCGAACGGGUGAGUAACACGUGAGUAACCUGCCCUUAACUCUGGGAUAAGCCUGGGAAACUGGGUCUAAUACCGGAUAUGACUCCUCAUCGCAUGGUGGGGGGUGGAAAGCUUUAUUGUGGUUUUGGAUGGACUCGCGGCCUAUCAGCUUGUUGGUGAGGUAAUGGCUCACCAAGGCGACGACGGGUAGCCGGCCUGAGAGGGUGACCGGCCACACUGGGACUGAGACACGGCCCAGACUCCUACGGGAGGCAGCAGUGGGGAAUAUUGCACAAUGGGCGAAAGCCUGAUGCAGCGACGCCGCGUGAGGGAUGACGGCCUUCGGGUUGUAAACCUCUUUCAGUAGGGAAGAAGCGAAAGUGACGGUACCUGCAGAAGAAGCGCCGGCUAACUACGUGCCAGCAGCCGCGGUAAUACGUAGGGCGCAAGCGUUAUCCGGAAUUAUUGGGCGUAAAGAGCUCGUAGGCGGUUUGUCGCGUCUGCCGUGAAAGUCCGGGGCUCAACUCCGGAUCUGCGGUGGGUACGGGCAGACUAGAGUGAUGUAGGGGAGACUGGAAUUCCUGGUGUAGCGGUGAAAUGCGCAGAUAUCAGGAGGAACACCGAUGGCGAAGGCAGGUCUCUGGGCAUUAACUGACGCUGAGGAGCGAAAGCAUGGGGAGCGAACAGGAUUAGAUACCCUGGUAGUCCAUGCCGUAAACGUUGGGCACUAGGUGUGGGGGACAUUCCACGUUUUCCGCGCCGUAGCUAACGCAUUAAGUGCCCCGCCUGGGGAGUACGGCCGCAAGGCUAAAACUCAAAGGAAUUGACGGGGGCCCGCACAAGCGGCGGAGCAUGCGGAUUAAUUCGAUGCAACGCGAAGAACCUUACCAAGGCUUGACAUGAACCGGAAAUACCUGGAAACAGGUGCCCCGCUUGCGGUCGGUUUACAGGUGGUGCAUGGUUGUCGUCAGCUCGUGUCGUGAGAUGUUGGGUUAAGUCCCGCAACGAGCGCAACCCUCGUUCUAUGUUGCCAGCGCGUUAUGGCGGGGACUCAUAGGAGACUGCCGGGGUCAACUCGGAGGAAGGUGGGGACGACGUCAAAUCAUCAUGCCCCUUAUGUCUUGGGCUUCACGCAUGCUACAAUGGCCGGUACAAAGGGUUGCGAUACUGUGAGGUGGAGCUAAUCCCAAAAAGCCGGUCUCAGUUCGGAUUGGGGUCUGCAACUCGACCCCAUGAAGUCGGAGUCGCUAGUAAUCGCAGAUCAGCAACGCUGCGGUGAAUACGUUCCCGGGCCUUGUACACACCGCCCGUCAAGUCACGAAAGUUGGUAACACCCGAAGCCGG